GACGAACGCUGGCGGCGUGCCUAACACAUGCAAGUCGAACGGAGUUAAGGAGCUUGCUUCUUAACUUAGUGGCGGACGGGUGAGUAACGCGUGAGUAACAUGCCUCCGAGAGGGGAAUAACGUUCUGAAAAGAACGCUAAUACCGAAUAACAUAUAACUGCCGCAUGAAAGGGACAUCAAAGAUUUAUCGCUCGGAGAUGGACUCGCGUCCGAUUAGUUAGUUGGUGAGGUAACGGCUCACCAAGACCGCGAUCGGUAGCCGGACUGAGAGGUUGAACGGCCACAUUGGGACUGAGACACGGCCCAGACUCCUACGGGAGGCAGCAGUGGGGGAUAUUGCGCAAUGGGGGGAACCCUGACGCAGCAACGCCGCGUGAAGGAUGAAGGUUUUCGGAUUGUAAACUUCUUUUAUUAAGGACGAAUUAUGACGGUACUUAAUGAAUAAGCUCCGGCUAACUACGUGCCAGCCGCCGCAGUAACAC
rnacentral:rRNA from 1 species